GACGAACGCUGGCGGCGUGCUUAACGCAUGCAAGUCGAACGGAAAGGCCCUGCUUUUGUGGGGUGCUCGAGUGGCGAACGGGUGAGUAACACGUGAGUAACCUGCCCUUGACUUUGGGAUAACUUCAGGAAACUGGGGCUAAUACCGGAUAGGAGCUCCUGCUGCAUGGUGGGGGUUGGAAAGUUUCGGCGGUUGGGGAUGGACUCGCGGCUUAUCAGCUUGUUGGUGGGGUAGUGGCUUACCAAGGCUUUGACGGGUAGCCGGCCUGAGAGGGUGACCGGCCACAUUGGGACUGAGAUACGGCCCAGACUCCUACGGGAGGCAGCAGUAGGGAAUAUUGCACAAUGGGCGGAAGCCUGAUGCAGCAACGCCGCGUGCGGGAUGACGGCCUUCGGGUUGUAAACCGCUUUCGCCUGUGACGAAGCGUGAGUGACGGUAAUGGGUAAAGAAGCACCGGCUAACUACGUG
rnacentral:rRNA from 1 species